GCUUACGGCCAUACCAGCCUGGGUACGCCCGAUCUCGUCUGCUCUCGGAAGCUAAGCAGGGUCGGGCCUGGUUAGUACUUGGAUGGGAGACCGCCUGGGAAUACCAGGUGCUGUAAGCA
rnacentral:rRNA from 1 species